CUACGUGCCAGCAGCCGCGGUAAUACGUAGGUGGCAAGCGUUGUCCGGAAUUAUUGGGCGUAAAGGGCGCGCAGGCGGCUUCUUAAGUCUGUCUUAAAAGUGCGGGGCUUAACCCCGUGAUGGGAUGGAAACUGGGAAGCUCAGAGUAUCGGAGAGGAAAGCGGAAUUCCUAGUGUAGCGGUGAAAUGCGUAGAUAUUAGGAGGAACACCAGUGGCGAAAGCGGCUUUCUGGCUUGUAACUGACGCUGAGGCUCGAAAGCGUGGGGAGCAAACAGGAUUAGAUACCCCGGUAGUCCUGGCCGUAAACGAUGGGUACUAGGUGUAGGAGGUAUCGACCCCUUCUGUGCCGGAGUUAACGCAAUAAGUACCCCGCCUGGGGAGUACGACCGCAAGGUUGAAACUCAAAGGAAUUGACGGGGGCCCGCACAAGCGGUGGAGCAUGUGGUUUAAUUCGAUGCAACGCGAAGAACCUUACCUACUCUUGACAUCCAGA
rnacentral:rRNA from 1 species